rnacentral:miRNA from 10 species
AUCACCGCCGCAUCGGCCAACGGGGAGGCUGUGGCCUCCAGGUCUGGUGACCCAGCCUCCCUGUUGGUGGAUCCGGCU